ACCCGGAUCUCCUCGGCACGGGCCAUCUCCUCCAGCUCCGGGCUGGUCUCCGGACACCAGUCGACCAUGAACUUGUCUCUGGCCUCGCACAGGUUGAUGGGCACCUCCUCGGGCUGCUGGCCGAACAGAGAGUCUGCAGGGAGACGAGGAGGAGAUGGGCUUAACGUCACAAACCUCCCAAAAGCAUCAGAAAACUAUGCUGACCGUAGCUUCACUGGUGACACUGUGAUUGAGUUAACAAUUGUUAACCAAAACAUUUCAGAACGACCCCUCUGAGAAAGAACUAGUCACUGGCUACAUCUGAUCAAGUCUUUGAAGAGCUAAACUCUUUGAUGUGGAACCGCAUGGUCUCACCGGCCAGGUCGUGUAUCAGGUCUUUGAUGAGGUGGCCGAUGAUGGCGUAGAGCGUCGCCACUAUGACGAUGGAGGCCAGGAUGAUGUAGAAGAUGUGAAUGGGCAGAUGGAUGGCGUCUCGAGCAGCAGCAAAAAGAGCAUCCAGUCUGAUAAAAACAUCUUCAAGACGGAGUGCAAACAUGAAAGCCAGAGUAAUGACGGCUAGCACAGACUCAUAGAGAUGUGAUGUAAUGAAGGCCGGAUGCUGUGUGUUGAUGGGGCU